rnacentral:tRNA from 1 species
GACCACGUAGCUCAGUUGGAAGAGCAUUGGGCUAGUAUUCCAAAGGUUGUAGGUUCGAAUCCCACCGUGGCUG